rnacentral:rRNA from 1 species
AGUGAACGCUGGCGGUAGGCCUAACACAUGCAAGUCGAACGGCAGCACAGUAAGAGCUUGCUCUUACGGGUGGCGAGUGGCGGACGGGUGAGGAAUACAUCGGAAUCUACUUUUUCGUGGGGGAUAACGUAGGGAAACUUACGCUAAUACCGCAUACGACCUACGGGUGAAAGCAGGGGAUCUUCGGACCUUGCGCGAUUGAAGGAGCCGAUGUCGGAUUAGCUAGUUGGCGGGGUAAGGGCCCACCAAGGCGACGAUCCGUAGCUGGUCUGAGAGGAUGAUCAGCCACACUGGAACUGAGACACGGUCCAGACUCCUACGGGAGGCAGCAGUGGGGAAUAUUGGACAAUGGGCGCAAGCCUGAUCCAGCCAUACCGCGUGGGUGAAGAAGGCCUUCGGGUUGUAAAGCCCUUUUGUUGGGAAAGAAAAGCAGCAGGUUAAUACCCCGCUGUUCUGACGGUACCCAAAGAAUAAGCACCGGCUAACUUCGUG